rnacentral:misc_RNA from 1 species
AUCGGACUUGGAGUCAACCCAAAAGAAUAUAAAUUGGGGACUGUCACCUUUUGCAACAUUGGAUGAUGAUCUUCAGGUCUGUUGGGUUCAAGGUGAUUGUUAUGCUAUGAAUCUUGGACUCCAAAACAUUGAGUUUCCUGAGUACUGUGAUCCGGGGCUUAUUGCUGAUGCUCCAACAUACUUGUAUGAUGCGGUGAGGUUUGACUACGAGAAUCUCUAUGACCCAACAG